UAUAUGCCUUUAAUACAUAAGUAUGCAAGGGAAACGCUUUAGUGCUUAAGGAUGGGUCUGUAUGGUAUCAGCUUGUUGGUGAGGUAAUGGCUCACCAAGGCUAUGACGCCUAACUGGUUUGAGAGGAUGAUCAGUCACACUGGAACUGAGACACGGUCCAGACUCCUACGGGAGGCAGCAGUGGGGAAUAUUGCACAAUGGACGAAAGUCUGAUGCAGCAACGCCGCGUGGAGGAUGACACAUUUCGGUGCGUAAACUCCUUUUAUAUAGGAAGAUAAUGACGGUACUAUAUGAAUAAGCACCGGCUAACUCCGUGC
rnacentral:rRNA from 1 species